UAGAGUUUGAUCCUGGCUCAGGACGAACGCUGGCGGCGUGCCUAAUACAUGCAAGUCGAGCGGAGAAUUUGGAGCUUGCUCCAAAUUUUCAGCGGCGGACGGGUGAGUAACACGUGGGCAACCUGCCCUGCAGAUCGGGAUAACUCCGGGAAACCGGUGCUAAUACCGGAUAGUUUAUUCCACCUCCUGGUGGAAUACGGAAAGACGGCGUCUCGCUGUCACUGCAGGAUGGGCCCGCGGCGCAUUAGCUAGUUGGUGGGGUAACGGCUCACCAAGGCCACGAUGCGUAGCCGACCUGAGAGGGUGAUCGGCCACACUGGGACUGAGACACGGCCCAGACUCCUACGGGACGCAGCA
rnacentral:rRNA from 1 species